AUUGAACGCUGGCGGCAUGCUUUACACAUGCAAGUCGAACGGUAACAGGCCGCAAGGUGCUGACGAGUGGCGAACGGGUGAGUAAUGCAUCGGAACGUGCCCAGUCGUGGGGGAUAACGCAGCGAAAGCUGUGCUAAUACCGCAUACGAUCUGUGGAUGAAAGCGGGGGACCGAAAGGCCUCGCGCGAUUGGAGCGGCCGAUGUCAGAUUAGGUAGUUGGUGGGGUAAAGGCUCACCAAGCCAACGAUCUGUAGCUGGUCUGAGAGGACGACCAGCCACACUGGGACUGAGACACGGCCCAGACUCCUACGGGAGGCAGCAGUGGGGAAUUUUGGACAAUGGGCGCAAGCCUGAUCCAGCAAUGCCGCGUGCAGGAAGAAGGCCUUCGGGUUGUAAACUGCUUUUGUACGGAACGAAAAGGUGCUGGUUAAUACCCGGCGCUGAUGACGGUACCGUAAGAAUAAGCACCGGCUAACUACGUGCCAGCAGCCGCAGUAAAAC
rnacentral:rRNA from 1 species